AUACCAAAAUUGGAACACAUACCAAAAUUGGAACCUUGCAGAGAUUAGCAUGGCCCCUGAGCAAGGAUGACAUGUAAAUUCAUGAAGCGUUUUGUGUUUUC
rnacentral:snRNA from 1 species